GACGGAGGAUGCAAGCGUUAUCCGGAAUGAUUGGGCGUAAAGCGUCCGCAGGUGGCAGUUCAAGUCUGCUGUCAAAGACCGGGGCUUAACUUCGGAAAGGCAGUGGAAACUGAACAGCUAGAGUAUGGUAGGGGCAGAGGGAAUUCCUGGUGUAGCGGUGAAAUGCGUAGAGAUCAGGAAGAACAUCGGUGGCGAAGGCGCUCUGCUGGACCAUAACUGACACUCAGGGACGAAAGCCAGGGGAGCAAACGGG
rnacentral:rRNA from 1 species